UAUCCUAUUAGUAUAGACCGUACGGCUGACUUCCAAUCAGCAAACCCCAAAUAGAAUGGGAUAGGAUAA
rnacentral:tRNA from 1 species